rnacentral:rRNA from 1 species
GUACACGCUGUGACUAGCAUAUCAAUAAGCGGAGGAAAAGAAACUAACAAGGAUUCCCUCAGUAACGGCGAGUGAAGCGGGAAGAGCUCAAAUUUGAAAUCUUGAAAGGUCACCUUUCACGAAUUGUAGUUUAAAGAAGUGUUUUCUGUUACGAUCGUAAUAUAAGUUCUUUGGAAUAGGACAUCACAGAGGGUGAGAAUCCCGUCUAUGAUUGCGAUUUGUAGCUUUGUGAUACACUUUCAAAGAGUCGGGUUGUUUGGGAAUGCAGCCCAAAACGGGAGGUAAAUUUCUUCUAAGGCUAAAUAUUGGCGAGAGACCGAUAGCGAACAAGUACCGUGAGGGAAAGAUGAAAAGAACUUUGAAAAGAGAGUUAAAUAGUACGCGAAAUUGUCAAAAGGGAAGCGUUUAACACCAGUGUUGUUUUCUGAAAAUCAACCUCUGUUAGCUUUAUGCAUGUUUGUUUAGACCUAAUCAGCUAUCUUGCAUGUUCUAUUGUUUGCAGUGGUGCACUUUUCAGUUUACAGGUCAACAUCAGUUUUUUUUACCGUAAAAAAGUUAAAAAAGGUAGCUCAUGGCUCCGGUCGUGAGUGUUAUAGUCUUUUUCCUAUGCGGUAGGAGAGACUGAGGUCUGCAGUGUAGGCUAUUUGGCUAGAUACUCAGGUGCUAUGUGAUACCAUUUCAUAAACAACUUGUUGAUUAUGUUUUGUCUAUUGCAUACUCGCUUGUACUAUCAUACCUACGCUUAGGAUGUUGAACUACUGAGACAUAGA